GACCUGGUGGUGAAUGGUUCACAUCCACCUUGUUUGGGAAGCUGCUAAAAGGAUUUGUUAGUGGGAGUCCCCGGUUCGAUUCCGGGUCAGGUCA